rfam:Dipodomys ordii contig_17256, whole genome shotgun sequence.
GGGAAUGUGGCUUAGUGGUAGAGUGCUUGCCUAGCAUGCAUGAAGCCCCAGGUUCAAGUCCUCAGUACUA